rnacentral:rRNA from 1 species
UAACUCUUAUUUUAUUUGAUGUAUUAGGACUAUAACUAUGUUAAAUUAUAGAUACAAUAAUACAAUAAGAAUAAGAUCUAUCAGUUAGUUGUUAAGGUAAUGGCUUAACAAGACUAUGACGGAUAACGGUAUUACUUUGUAAUAUUCCGGAGAAGGAGCCUGAGAGAUUGCUACUAAGUCUAAGGAUUGCAGCAGGGGCGAAACUUGACCUAUGAUAUGAUAUUGAGGCAGUUAUGAGUAGUAUUUUUUUUAAUUAUUGUAGUAUUGUAAGUAUAUACUACAAGAUAAAUCGGAGGGCAAAUCGAGUGCCAGCCGCCGCAGUAAAAC